rnacentral:rRNA from 1 species
CCUACGGGAGGCAGCAGUGGGGAAUUUUGGACAAUGGGGGCAACCCUGAUCCAGCCAUGCCGCGUGAGUGAAGAAGGCCUUCGGGUUGUAAAGCUCUUUCGGCCGGGAAGAAAUCGCACAGGUUAAUACCUUGUGUGAAUGACGGUACCGGAAUAAGAAGCACCGGCUAACUACGUGCCAGCAGCCGCGGUAAU